UUUAAAGUCUAAUCUGCCCUAUGAGGAUUUAAAUGGCCGCGGUAUUUUGACCGUGCAAAGGUAGCAUAAUAAUUAGUUUUUUAAUUGAAAGCUAGCAUGAAUGAUUGGACGAGAAAAUAGCUGUCUCAAUUUAAUUUUAUUAGAAUUUUAUUUUUAAGUAAGAAAGCUUAAAUUAAAUUAAAAGACGAGAAGACCCUAUAGAGUUUUAUAAUAAAUUAAUUAUUAAUUUUUUAGUAUGAUUUUAUUAAUAAUUAAUAUAUUAUUUUAUUGGGGCGAUGGAAAAAUUUUAUUAACUUUUUUUGAAAAAAAAUCAUUAAUUUAUGAUUAUUUGAUCCAUUAUUUAUGAUUAUAAGAUUAAAUUACCUUAGGGAUAACAGCGUAAUUUUUUUUUAGAGUUCUUAUCGAAAGAAAAGAUUGCGACCUCGAUGUUGGAUUAAAAUUAAUGUUAGGUGUAGGAGCUUAAUAAUUAGGUCUGUUCGACCUUUGAAAUUUUACAUGAUCUGAGUUUAAACCGGUGUGAGCCAGGUUGGUUUCUAUCUUUAAUAAAUUAAAAUAUUUUAGUACGAAAGGACCAAAUAUUUAUAAUAGUUAUUAAGAUUUGAUUAAUAUUAG
rnacentral:rRNA from 1 species